UCUGAUGUUAAAUAUUAGAGAAACUCCUCCAUCAGUUCACAGUUGAUGAAUUCACUUGAAUGUGUGAUGAAAUAUCUUCAGCAAAAGAAAAUACGACUGACUAAAUUAACUCUUAUUAGAAUAUUUUAUAAUAACACUGAUAACUGAUGAUAGACAGAAACAUGUAUUUUUUCAUUACUGAUACUUUCUAUUGAAUGAAUAUUAUACUGUCUGUAUUUUCAGGAAACACCUCUAAACCCGUGUCAGGAAAAAAAGGAGGAAAGGUCACACUCACAUGUGAACAUGAGGCCAAUAAUAUUGUUCACAUUGAGUUAUCCAGUCGGUCAGGAGACAUAGAUGUGUGUCAGACUGAAGAAUGUAGAGGACGAGUGUUUAAAGAAGGAAACUGUGACGUCGUCAUCAAGAAUCUGAGCUUCAGUGACGCUGGGAAAUACUUUCUGCAUCUCUAUUACAAUAAUGAUCAGAAAGAGCUGGAGCGACAAAUCAGGACGUACCAACUUCAUAUUCAUGAUGAGAUUUCUGUGAAAACAGGCGAGGAGCUAAAGAUGUCUGUUCUGUUGUCUAAUGCUGAUAAAGUGAAGACAAACUCUAGUGGAGAGUGGAAGGAGGUUUGGAGCAGAACUGAUGGGGUUCAGAGCGAUCGAAUGAAUGAAACUGAUGGAAACCUGAUCAUUAAAGUGUUUCUGGACAGAGAUGCAGGAACAUACAGAGUUCUGGACUCUGAAGAAGAAAUCGUGAUCACAGUCACAAUCACAGAAUCUAGUACAGAAUCAAAGGAAAAACUGGACACAGAUGACGACAAAACUGAAGACACUGAACAACACAAGAACUGGAUUGUGUCAGUUGUAGUGUGUUUGGUGACUCUGGCUGUGAUUGUGAUUUCUGUCAUCAUAUGGAGACGUCAGCACAGAGAUCACACACAGGUUCAAGAGCACACACAGGAACUGAAGAGACCUAUACUGCACGUGACUCAACUGCACAGGAGUCCUGAACACCUGAGAACCACUGGUUACUUGUGAUGUGCCUUCAGUUCCAAGAUGAUUCUGUCAACAUA
ensembl:lncRNA